rnacentral:rRNA from 1 species
UAUUAGCUUGUUGGCGGGGUAACGGCCCACCAAGGCAACGAUCAGUAGGGGUUCUGAGAGGAAGGUCCCCCACAUUGGAACUGAGACACGGUCCAAACUCCUACGGGAGGCAGCAGUGAGGAAUAUUGGUCAAUGGACGAGAGUCUGAACCAGCCAAGUAGCGUGCAGGAAGACGGCCCUAUGGGUUGUAAACUGCUUUUAUAAGGGAAUAAAGUGAGAGUCGUGACUCUUUUUGCAUGUACCUUAUGAAUAAGGACCGGCUAAUUCCGUGCCAGCAGCCGCGGUAAUACGGAAGGUCCGGGCGUUAUCCGGAUUUAUUGGGUUUAAAGGGAGCGUAGGCCGGAGAUUAAGCGUGUUGUGAAAUGUAGACGCUCAACGUCUGCACUGCAGCGCGAACUGGUUUCCUUGAGUACGCACAAAGUGGGCGGAAUUCGUGGUGUAGCGGUGAAAUGCUUAGAUAUCACGAAGAACUCCGAUUGCGAAGGCAGCUCACUGGAGCGCAACUGACGCUGAAGCUCGAAAGUGCGGGUAUCGAACAGGAUUAGAUACCCUGGUAGUCCGCACGGUAAACGAUGGAUGCCCGCUGUUGGUCUGAAUAGGUCAGCGGCCAAGCGAAAGCAUUAAGCAUCCCACCUGGGGAGUACGCCGGCAACGGUGAAACUCAAAGGAAUUGACGGGGGCCCGCACAAGCGGAGGAACAUGUGGUUUAAUUCGAUAUACGCGAGGAACCUUACCCGGGCUUGAAUUGCAGAGGAAGGAUUUGGAGACGAUGACGCCCUUCGGGGCCUCUGUGAAGGUGCUGCAUGGUUGUCGUCAGCUCGUGCCGUGAGGUGUCGGCUUAAGUGCCAUAACGAGCGCAACCCCUCUCCUUAGUUGCCAUCAGGUUAAGCUGGGCACUCUGGGGACACUGCCACCGUAAGGUGUGAGGAAGGUGGGGAUGACGUCAAAUCAGCACGGCCCUUACGUCCGGGGCUACACACGUGUUACAAUGGCAGGUACAGAGAGACGGUCCCUUGCAAAACGGAUCAAAUCCUUAAAGCCUGUCUCAGUUCGGACUGGGGUCUGCAACCCGACCCCACGAAGCUGGAUUCGCUAGUAAUCGCGCAUCAGCCAUGGCGCGGUGAAUACGUUCCCGGGCCUUGUACACACCGCCCGUCAAGCCAUGAAAGCCGGGGGCGCCUAAAGUCCGUGACCGUAAGGAGCGGCCUAGGGCGAAACUGGUAAUUGGGGCUAAGUCGUAACAAGGUA